rnacentral:rRNA from 1 species
AUUGAACGCUGGCGGAAUGCUUUACACAUGCAAGUCGAACGGCAGCACGGGGCAACCUGGUGGCGAGUGGCGAACGGUGAGUAAUACAUCGGAACGUGCCCAAUCGUGGGGGAUAACGUAGCGAAAGUUACGCUAAUACCGCAUACGAUCUACGGAUGAAAGCGGGGGAUCGCAAGACCUCGCGCGAGUGGAGCGGCCGAUGUCAGAUUAGGUAGUUGGUGGGGUAAAGGCUCACCAAGCCAACGAUCUGUAGCUGGUCUGAGAGGACGACCAGCCACACUGGAACUGAGACACGGUCCAGACUCCUACGGGAGGCAGCAGUGGGGAAUUUUGGACAAUGGGCGCAAGCCUGAUCCAGCCAUUCCGCGUGCAGGAUGAAGGCCUU